ensembl:lincRNA Gm37712 predicted gene, 37712
UUAAGCUGUGCACCUUGACCAGUUGGUUGUGGCUCUAUGUGUCAAGACCUCCCGCUGCAGUUGUAAGGUUCUGUGACCUGAUCAAGGGUUAAAGAGGAUUCCAUAACCCACACUAUAAUAGAAGAUCUGGCAUCCUAGCAAAUGAGGCCCGGUGGGCCUGCAAGAAUUGUAGCCUCUCUGGGGGCCCACUCUUGACUCCAUCCUUACGUACACGACCCUGGACCAAGCCUGGAAUCUCCACAGCCUCAUUAUCACUCUCAGCCUUGGUUUUGAUAUCGAGAAAUCAUGGGAAGCAAAGGAGACAACCUCAUGGCGUGAUUUCGAGGCUAAACCGAUCCAAAUCCAGGCCUUCACAUGUUUUUGGACAAAGUUCUUUGUGAAGGUUAUUUUCGUCAUGAGAGUGAUUAAUGUCAUGUGUUGGCCACGGAGAGACUAGUGUACCCCUGUGGGAAGAACUUGGCAGAGAAGUGGAGCAGAGCCCGAGUUAAUUUUAGAAAUCUUCAAUGUUGCAGGGGGCGACAAGGGAAACUCAGUUCUGCCAAGGAUGAACUAACUACCUGAGAACAUUAAGCCCCCAAAGGACAGCUUUUGCAUCUGGUCUCUCUCCUUCCCUGCUCCUUGUUCAUCAAGGAACAGGAAGCUUGCCU